rnacentral:rRNA from 1 species
GAGUACAGCGGCGGACGGGUGAGUAAUACCUAGGUAAUCUACCUCAUUGUGGGGAAUAACUACUCGAAAGGGUAGCUAAUACCGCAUACGGUUUCAGAACGGUAGUUCUGAAAAGAAAGGGGGGUCGUAAGAUCUCUCGCAGUGAGAUGAGCCUGGGCCCGAUUAGCUAGUUGGUGAGGUAAUGGCUCACCAAGGCGACGAUCGGUAGCUGAUUUGAGAGAAUGAUCAGCCACACUGGAACUGACACACGGUCCAGACUCCUACGGGAGGCAGCAGUGGGGAAUAUUGCACAAUGGAGGAAACUCUGAUGCAGCGACGCCGCGUGGGUGAUGAAGGCCUUCGGGUUGUAAAGCCCUGUCGGCUGGGAACAAGGUAGACGUGCUCAUACCACGUUUGCUUGAGUGUACCAGCAAAGGAAGCACCGGCUAACCCUGUGCCAGCAGCCGCGGUAAUACAGGGGGUGCUAGCGUUGUUCGGAAUUACUGGGCGUAAAGGGCGCGUAGGCGGUCUUGCAAGUCAGGAGUGAAAUCCCGGAGCUUAACUUCGGAAUUGCUUUUGAAACUGCAAGGCUAGAGUGUGUUAGAGGAUGGCGGAAUUCCUAGUGUAGGGGUGAAAUUCGUAGAUAUUAGGAAGAACACCGGUGGCGAAGGCGGCCAUCUGGGACACAACUGACGCUGAGGCGCGAAAGCGUGGGGAUCGAACAGGAUUAGAUACCCUGGUAGUCCACGCCGUAAACGAUGGAUACUCGCCGUAGCUGGUAAUCAAUCCGGCUGUGGCUUAGCUAACGCGUUAAGUAUCUCGCCUGGGAAGUACGGUCGCAAGAUUAAAACUCAAAGGAAUUGACGGGGACCCACACAAGCGGUGGAUUAUGUGGUUUAAUUCGAAGCAACGCGCAAAACCUUACCUGGCCUUGACAUGCCUCUGACUGGUCGUAGAAAUACGCCUUCUCUUCGGAGCAGAGGACACAGGUGCUGCAUGGCUGUCGUCAGCUCGUGUCGUGAGAUGUUUGGUUAAGUCCAGCAACGAGCGCAACCCUUUGUCUUUAGUUGCCAUCAUUA